ACAAUGCGAAGCGAAGCAGCGAUGUGAAGCAAAUCGCACCAAAGCCGGUCCCAGUUCGGAUAAGAGGCUGAAACUCGCCUCUUUGAAGUCGGAAUCGCUAGUAAUCGCAGAUCAGCAUGUUGCGGUGAAUACGUUUCCUGGUCUUGUACACACCGCCCGUCAAACCAUGAGAGUCGCCAACACCCGAAGUCCGCUUUGCGGCCUAAGGUGGGGAGAUGAUUGGGGUUAAGUCGUAACAAGGUAGC
rnacentral:rRNA from 1 species